rnacentral:rRNA from 1 species
GACGAACGCUGGCGGCGUGCCUAAUACAUGCCAGUUGAGCGAUGAAGAUUGGUGCUUGCACCAAUUUGAAGAGCAGCGAACGGGUGAGUAACGCGUGGGGAAUCUGCCUUUGAGCGGGGGACAACAUUUGGAAACGAAUGCUAAUACCGCAUAACAACUUUAAACAUAAGUUUUAAGUUUGAAAGAUGCAAUUGCAUCACUCAAAGAUGAUCCCGCGUUGUAUUAGCUAGUUGGUGAGGUAAAGGCUCACCAAGGCGAUGAUACAUAGCCGACCUGAGAGGGUGAUCGGCCACAUUGGGACUGAGACACGGCCCAAACUCCUACGGGAGGCAGCAGUAGGGAAUCUUCGGCAAUGGACGAAAGUCUGACCGAGCAACGCCGCGUGAGUGAAGAAGGUUUUCGGAUCGUAAAACUCUGUUGGUAGAGAAGAACGUUGGUGAGAGUGGAAAGCUCAUCAAGGGACGGUAACUACCCAGAAAGGGACGGCUAACUACGU